rnacentral:rRNA from 1 species
UACGUAGGGUGCGAGCGUUGUCCGGAAUUAUUGGGCGUAAAGAGCUUGUAGGUGGUUUGUCGCGUCUGCUGUGAAAAUCCGAGGCUCAACCUCGGACUUGCAGUGGGUACGGGCAGACUAGAGUGUGGUAGGGGAGACUGGAAUUCCUGGUGUAGCGGUGGAAUGCGCAGAUAUCAGGAAGAACACCAAUGGCGAAGGCAGCUCUCUGGGACGGUACUGACGCUGAGGAGCGAAAGCGUGGGGAGCGAACAGG